GGGCGGUUAGCUCAGCUGGUUAGAGUGCUUGCGUGACAUGCAAGAAGUCGUUGGUUCAAAUCCAGUACCGCCCACCA
rnacentral:tRNA from 1 species